rnacentral:rRNA from 1 species
CUGAAUAGGGCGCUUAGUCAGAUGCUGCAGACCCGAAACGAAGUGAUCUAUCCAUGAGCAAGUUGAAGCUAGUGUAAGAACUAGUGGAGGACUGAACCCAUAGGCGUUGAAAAGCCCCGGGAUGACUUGUGGAUAGGGGUGAAAGGCCAAUCAAACUUCGUGAUAGCUGGUUCUCUCCGAAAUAUAUUUAGGUAUAGCGUUGUGUCGUAAUAUAAGGGGGUAGAGCACUGAAUGGGCUAGGGCAUACACCAAUGUACCAAACCCUAUCAAACUCCGAAUACCUUAUAUGUAAUCACAGCAGUCAGGCGGCGAGUGAUAAAAUCCGUCGUCAAGAGGGAAACAACCCAGACUACCAGCUAAGGUCCCUAAAUCUUACUUAAGUGGAAAACGAUGUGAAGUUACUUAAACAACCAGGAGGUUGGCUUAGAAGCAGCCAUCCUUUAAAGAAAGCGUAAUAGCUCACUGGUCUAGUGAUUUUGCGCGGAAAAUAUAACGGGGCUAAAGUAAGUACCGAAGCUGUAGACUUAGUUUACUAAGUGGUAGGAGAGCGUUCUAUUUGCGUCGAAGGUAUACCGGUAAGGAGUGCUGGAGCGAAUAGAAGUGAGCAUGCAGGCAUGAGUAGCGAUAAUUAAUGUGAGAAUCAUUAACGCCGUAAACCCAAGGUUUCCUACGCGAUGCUCGUCAUCGUAGGGUUAGUCGGGUCCUAAGUCGAGUCCGAAAGGGGUAGACGAUGGCAAAUUGGUUAAUAUUCCAAUACCAACAUUAGUGUGCGAUGGAAGGACGCUUAGGGCUAAGGGGGCUAGCGGAUGGAAGUGCUAGUCUAAGGUCGUAGGAGGUUAUACAGGCAAAUCCGUAUAACAAUACUCCGAGAACUGAAAGGCUUUUUGAAGUCUUCGGAUGGAUAGAAGAACCCCUGAUGCCGUCGAGCCAAGAAAAGUUUCUAAGUUUAGCUAAUGUUGCCCGUACCGUAAACCGACACAGGUGGGUGGGAUGAGUAUUCUAAGGCGCGUGGAAGAACUCUCUUUAAGGAACUCUGCAAAAUAGCACCGUAUCUUCGGUAUAAGGUGUGGUUAGCUUUGUAUUAGGAUUUACUCCGAAAGCAAGGAAACUUACAACAAAGAGUCCCUCCCGACUGUUUACCAAAAACACAGCACUCUGCUAACUCGUAAGAGGAUGUAUAGGGUGUGACGCCUGCCCGGUGCUCGAAGGUUAAUUGAUGGGGUUAGCAUUAGCGAAGCUCUUGAUCGAAGCCCGAGUAAACGGCGGCCGUAACUAUAACGGUCCUAAGGUAGCGAAAUUCCUUGUCGGUUAAAUACCGACCUGCAUGAAUGGCGUAACGAGAUGGGAGCUGUCUCAAAGAGGGAUCCAGUGAAAUUGUAGUGGAGGUGAAAAUUCCUCCUACCCGCGGCAAGACGGAGAGACCCCGUGGACCUUUACUACAGCUUGACACUGCUAUUUGGAUAAGAAUGUGCAGGAUAGGUGGGAGGCUUUGAGUAUAUGACGCCAGUUGUAUAUGAGCCAUUGUUGAGAUACCACUCUUUCUUAUUUGGGUAGCUAACCAGCUUGAGUUAUCCUCAAGUGGGACAAUGUCUGGUGGGUAGUUUGACUGGGGCGGUCGCCUCCCAAAUAAUAACGGAGGCUUACAAAGGUUGGCUCAGAACGGUUGGAAAUCGUUCGUAGAGUAUAAAGGUAUAAGCCAGCUUAACUGCAAGACAUACAAGUCAAGCAGAGACGAAAGUCGGUCUUAGUGAUCCGGUGGUUCUGUGUGGAAGGGCCAUCGCUCAAAGGAUAAAAGGUACCCCGGGGAUAACAGGCUGAUCUCCCCCAAGAGCUCACAUCGACGGGGAGGUUUGGCACCUCGAUGUCGGCUCAUCGCAUCCUGGGGCUGGAGCAGGUCCCAAGGGUAUGGCUGUUCGCCAUUUAAAGCGGUACGCGAGCUGGGUUCAGAACGUCGUGAGACAGUUCGGUCCCUAUCUGCCGUGGGCGUAAGAAGAUUGAAGAGAUUUGACCCUAGUACGAGAGGACCGGGUUGAACAAACCACUGGUGUAGCUGUUGUUCUGCCAAGAGCAUCGCAGCGUAGCUAAGUUUGGAAAGGAUAAACGCUGAAAGCAUCUAAGCGUGAAGCCAACUCUAAGAUGAAUCUUCUCUAAGCUCUCUAGAAGACUACUAGUUUGAUAGGCUGGGUGUGUAAUGGAUGAAAGUCCUUUAGCUGACCAGUACUAAUAGAGCGUUUGGCUUAUCUUUAAUAAAGCAU